rnacentral:rRNA from 1 species
GCUGAAUCUCUGCUAUUGCAACCCGAAAGAUGUUGAUCUUUACAAGAAGAGAAUGAAGCCCAGCGAAAGCUGGGUGGAGGUUCGACUUGCGUUCUAACGUGCAAAUUGAUGCUCUCAUUUUUGUAAAGGGGCGAAAUACUCAUCGAAACAUUUAGUAGCUGGUUCCUUUCGAAGUUUCUCCCAGGAUAGCUGUGUUUUAUUAAAGAGUCUUGCCAUGUAAAGCGAACGUUUAGAAGAUUUGGGGAUAACUUUUCCUCUGCUUAUUCACGAACUUUAAAUGGGCACGAAAAAAGUUUACUUAAUUUUGAAACUUUUAUUGGUAUCGAAAAAACAUUAGUGGGCCUCUUCUGGUAAGCAGGACGGGCGAGGUGGGAUGCUCCAAGUGUUGUUGGUUAAAGUGCCAAAGUGUUCGCUAAUCUAGAUACCAAAAAAAGGCGUUUUGUUUCAUAGACAGUUGGGCUGUGGCCAUGGAAGCAGGAAUCAGCCAAGGAAUGCGUAAAUAGCUCACCAGCCGAGAGACAAAAGCCCUGAAAAUUCAUGG